AAUGCGCACGAUCUCCGCCCUCUAUUCUAUUCCAAAUCAAGACGGCUGCCGUCACGCCAAAUCGGGCCGCUUAUUUUAGCACCCAGCACUAGCAGUUAGAGAAAAAAAGCGCCAAUAAAAUAUCCCUAUCUUCCUUUUUUGGUACUUUAUUAUUCUGAGCUUUUCGGCAACAAGCGAAGAAAAUUCACUGUCACUUUACAUAUAAGUAAUUUAUGUGCGAAGGAAAUGAUAUAGAAGUGUAGGUACUGGAUAGAUUGGUGGGGGGCUAAAGUGCGCCGGAUUGGAGACGGUGCUGACGUGGCGGCUUGGGUACCGUUGUAUUGGGGUUGCCUUUUUCAGCUGCUCGCGGAGCUUCCUUGCCAUGAUUGAUUGCCGUUUAUGGAGUGCGAGAAUUGUCAACUAGUUGAUGAAUUGACGCAGCUGCCUAUUUGAUUUUUUGACGUCGGAGGUGUUGGUUUGGUUUGUGACGAUCUGGAGAAAUCGAAGUUUGUGGUGGAUUUUGGUGGUGUACUGUAUUGGAUUGGAGUAAUUUUGACUUUUUUUUUGUCGGCGGUUUAUUGAUUGGGGUUUUUGAGGUGUGAGAUGGAGUUACUCUAGCGCUUAUUGUUUUAGGGGGUCCAUUUCAACCCUAGUUCGUUAUUGAGGCUGAUAAGAGUGAUGGAGAAGAGUGAGAUGGGGAAGACCGGGGAUGGGUUUAUUGAUCGGAGAAAAGUGAGGAUUUUGUUGUGUGAUAAUGAUGUGAAAAGUUCGGAGGAGGUUUUUACACUUUUGUGUAAAUGUUCUUAUCAAGUGACUGCUGUAAAGUCACCAAGACAGGUGAUUGAUGCACUGAAUGCAGAGGGGCCUGAUAUAGAUAUUAUUCUUUCUGAGGUAGACCUUCCAAUGUCUAAAGGACUGAAAAUGUUAAAAUAUAUUAUGAGGGACAAAGAGUUGAGACGAAUUCCUGUGAUAAUGAUGUCAGCUCAAGAUGAGGUUCCCCUUGUUGUCAAGUGCCUGAAAUUUGGAGCAGCUGACUAUCUAGUGAAGCCAUUACGUACAAAUGAGCUGUUGAACUUGUGGACUCAUAUGUGGAGAAGAAGGAGAAUGCUUGGACUUGUGGAGAAGAACAUCAUAAGUUAUGAUUUUGAUCUGGUGGUGUCAGACCACAGUGAUGAUGCUAACACCAAUAGCACUACCUUAUUUUCGGAUGACACAGAUGACAAGUCCCGAAAGAGUACUAACCCAGAGAUGUGUGUCUCAACUCACCAAGAAGAUGAGAUAGAUACCACCACAACUGCUCCUAUAGCUACUGUAGAUGAGGCUCGGCGGGAAUGUCAGCCUGAUGUGCCAGGAAUAAGUGACAGGCGUACAUAUGAAAUGAGGAUAGGACAAAUUUUACCUUUUUUAAGGAAGAAUGAAUUCAAGAUAGGUGAAUCAUCUGCUUUCUUCACCUAUGUCAAAUCCAGCAUUUCCAAAAGCACAAACCAGGGGUCUUCUUCUGUUCCUGAAAAUACAGCUCAGCAUGUGAGCUUUGUGGAGAAUCAAAUACUGAAUGGUGAAGUUGGUUUUAGCAUCGAAGCAGAAAAAACCAUACUGAAUGGUGAAGUGGGUUUGAGCGUCCAAGGAGAAAAAACUCAUGAGACCCUCGAAAACCAGUUGCCGCCAGAUGAACAACCAAGCAGUAGUAGUGCUCCUGAAUCGUUUAUUGUGGACAGGUCCUGCACUCCUCCUAAAUCACUGGAUAUAUCUCAACAGAGGAACUCAAAGGAGUUCUCUCAGGAGCAUAUGCAUUUAGGAAAUGAUUCUCCUAAUGAUGUGACUGGAUCUUACCCAUAUCCUUAUUACAUGUCCGGAGUAGCAAAUCAAGUGCCCAUGUCAUCAGCAUCUAUGUAUCCUAAGAACUUCCACGAUAUAAGCAACCAUGCUAAUUCUGCUUUGAUUCCUCAGUACAAUCAUGUUCCACAAUGUCCUCCUCACAUCCCUGGAAUGGCAUCUUAUCCUUACUACCCGUAUGGUGUAUGCUUACAACCAGGUCAAAUGCCUAGUCCACAUCAAUGGCCAUCAUUUGGAAAUUCUAAGUCCAGUGAAGUGAAGUUAAGUAAAGUCGACCGUAGAGAGGCGGCACUGUUGAAGUUCAGGCAGAAACGGAAGGAAAGAUGCUUCGACAAGAAGAUCAGGUAUGUGAAUAGGAAAAAACUAGCAGAGCGUAGACCUCGUGUAAGGGGCCAGUUUGUGAGGAAGGUAAAUGGUGUUGACGUGGAUCUUAAUGGCCAACCUGAAGAUGAUGAGGAAGAAGGGGAAGAAUAUGAUGAAGAUGAUCAAACUGCUAAUAUGGAACUUUCACACGAGGAUGGUGUGUCCAUGUGCCAAUAAUGAUCCUUACCCAAUGAAGCCUGCAGAAACAGAAAGCAUGCGGGUCUUGUUGCUCACUGUUGAUUAGUACAGAUAACAUGUGGCAGAUCCUCUCCGAUCAUCACCAAAUGGUUUUGCAUUCGUCUUUGAGAUCUGCCACAUGUGAUCAUAAAAGAUAAAUAUCUCUGGACAUGAAAGUAGGAGUACGUAGAGCUAUUCUUGGAGAUUCUCGUUGGGGCUGGGCUGAGGAGACGAUUUGUGGAUUUCUGCAAGUUCUUUAACUGUCUCUCAUUGGAUUCUCGAGAUUGAGGAAAAAGAUGGUUUUAUUCAUCCGUAACUGGUUAGGAGUGCAUGCAAGAAUCAGCACGAAAUCGAGGAUGCUAAUUUUGAUAUAAUUGUACCUCUGCAUACGGAAGUCAUUCACAUACACUUUAGUGUCUCUUCAACUCUAGUUUCAAAAUUUUAGAGCUUCAACUGUUAGUUGUUUCUUGUUUUUUUCCCUUCUUUUAUUGAUGGUUCCCCAUUUAUCCCGUGAUGACUUGAACUUCUAGCCUAUUGGUUAGAAGAAAGCGUCUUACCAACCGAGCUGCCUUUAAUUUAUACUCGUUCCGUUUCCUAAAAAUAUAAAUUCUUUCUUUUUUUGGUA